rnacentral:lncRNA from 1 species
GCUUUCGGCAGCUUUAACAGCAGCAGAACCAGCAGGUUCAGCUGACCCAGGGCCAGCUUUAUCGGCAGAAAACGUGGCAGCAGCAGUCGGAGACUUUAAAGCAGCUUCAAUAAAUGGUUUCCUGGCCCGGCUCUUCCUUGGCACCAUAAGCCAUGUGCCCGAAACUGCAGGUUCCACAAUAGGAUGCUGAACAGUUGACACGUAAGCUGGAGAAGGAGAAAAGGUGGACAUGUCCAUAGGAUGGGAGUAAGCAAGCGUAA